CGGGACGGGUGAGUAAUGUCUGGGAAACUGCCUGAUGGAGGGGGAUAACUAUUGGAAACGGUAGCUAAUACCGCAUAACGUCGCAAGACCAAAGAGGGGGACCUUCGGGCCUCUUGCCAUCGGAUGUGCCCAGAUGGGAUUAGCUAGUAGGUGGGGUAACGGCUCACCUAGGCGACGAUCCCUAGCUGGUCUGAGAGGAUGACCAGCCACACUGGAACUGAGACACGGUCCAG
rnacentral:rRNA from 1 species